UAGACCUUCAAAUUAGAAAAGUGAGGAUGAUCUUGUCAAUGCUGAGAUUUUCAUGCAUCAACAGCCACUACAUCUGGAUCAGAUUGAACAAGAAACAGACAGCAAGGGUUGUCAGAUCAGAAACAGAAUGACACACAAACACAAGAAACUUCACAGGCAGAUCAACAUGCAAUUUAAAGACGUGUGAUAAAAUACAGAGAGGUGAAGUCGUGUGUCUUUCCAGAUGCCCAAAUCAUUCCCCCUUAAAAG